rnacentral:rRNA from 1 species
AUUGAACGCUGGCGGCAUGCCUUACACAUGCAAGUCGAACGGUAACAGGUCUUCGGAUGCCGACGAGUGGCGAACGGGUGAGUAAUACAUCGGAACGUGCCUAGUAGUGGGGGAUAACUACUCGAAAGAGUGGCUAAUACCGCAUGAGAUCUACGGAUGAAAGCAGGGGAUCGCAAGACCUUGUGCUACUAGAGCGGCCGAUGGCAGAUUAGGUAGUUGGUGGGAUAAAAGCUUACCAAGCCGACGAUCUGUAGCUGGUCGGAGAGGACGAUCGGCCACAAUGGGACUAAGACCAGGCCCAGACGCAUACGGGAAGCAGCAGUGGGGAAUUUUGGACAAUGGGAGCAAGCCUGAUCCAGCAAUGCCGCGUGCAGGAUGAAGGCCUUCGGGUUGUAAACUGCUUUUGUACGGAACGAAAAGCCCUGUGUUAAUACCCUGGGGUCAUGACGGUACCGUAAGAAUAAGCACCGGCUAACUACGUGCCAGCCGCCGCCGUAAAAC